rnacentral:lncRNA from 1 species
AGCGUAUGAGCCACCAAAUUUGUUUGUCUCCUAACAAACUUUACCUCAAAAUUUACAAAAAAUGACAUAAUAUGAAUAAUAUAAGCAACAAUUAAACGAACUUCAGAGGUACCUUAACGCUUCAAAUGGAUUGCAAGCAAAAGGGCUCGAUCAAACCCCCUCAGCCUCUUCUAUAGCAAGCAAAAGAGCUCGUGCUACCCCCCUUCAAAGUUGAUAGUUGCACGGCCACAAAGUGGCCUAAAU